rnacentral:rRNA from 1 species
CCUCGGGCGGCUGCAGUGGGGAAUAUUGCACAAUGGAGGAAACUCUGAUGCAGCAACGCCGCGUGGAGGAUGACACUUUUCGGAGCGUAAACUCCUUUUAUAUAGGAAGAAGAUGACGGUACUAUAUGAAUAAGCGCCGGCUAACUCCGUGCCAGCAGCCGCGGUAAUACGGAGGGCGCAAGCGUUACUCGGAAUCACUGGGCGUAAAGAGCGUGUAGGCGGAUUAAAAAGUCAGAAGUGAAAUCCUAUAGCUUAACUAUAGAACUGCUUCUGAAACUCUUAAUCUAGAAUAUGGGAGAGGUAGAUGGAAUUUCUGGUGUAGGGGUAAAAUCCGUAGAGAUCAGAAGGAAUACCGAUUGCGAAGGCGAUCUACUAGAACAUUAUUGACGCUGAGACGCGAAAGCGUGGGGAGCAAACAGGAUUAGAUACCCGCGUAGUC